rnacentral:rRNA from 1 species
UAGCCUACGGGACGCAGCAGUGAGGAAUAUUGGUCAAUGGGCGAGAGCCUGAACCAGCCAAGUCGCGUGAAGGAUGACGGCCCUACGGGUUGUAAACUUCUUUUGUCAGGGAGCAAUUGGGUCCACGCGUGGGCUUAGCGAGAGUACCUGAAGAAAAAGCAUCGGCUAACUCCGUGCCAGCAGCCGCGGUAAUACGGAGGAUCCGAGCGUUAUCCGGAUUUAUUGGGUUUAAAGGGUGCGUAGGCGGUCAGGUAAGUUAGAGGUGAAAGCUCGAUGCUCAACAUCGAAACUGCCUCUGAUACUGU